UAUGCCCAUCUAGACUACACUGCAGAGCUAUCAAAAACCAUGUCUGAGGGUGUCGUCAGAAAAAUCCAACCCUUUACCAUUGGGACCAGGCUGUCUGUCCCCUCCGAAGCCAAAUGCCAGGAGUUUGUGGACGUCUAUCUGCCGAAGUCUGCUGCUCCAAACAAGUUGGAGCUACAGAACAACCUACACGACCAAAUGUCCCUUUACGUGGGCCAGUCCCAGGGGUGGCCUGGGACUGGGAACUCGGAACUCCCACAAGUGGCCGCCCAGGUCUACGCUUCAACACCAGAGGGACAUCAGGAUGAGCGAGUGGAGGAGGACACGAAUUCUGUGUCCCCCACUGCAUCCUCUAGGUCCAUCAGGAAGAUUGCUAUUUGCAGGAAUGCCGAGACAGUCCCCGACGUGUCCUUGUGUGACUCUGAAAUGGCCACCUCAGUCAGUUCCACGUCGGAGACCAUCCGAAGCAACUACAACAGUGUUCACCCAAAACUGCCAUCCUUGAUAGUAGAGGACGACUUGGAUAAGAGGUUCAACUCUCAGUCUAAGGAUGGACAUCAGUACGAGACGCUUGACGUGGAGACCGACCACAAGGGAGAGAAGAGGAAGAGACUGCAACAGAUAGAAGGCAACAAAAUCCCUUCCCGAGAGAACACCGUUAACCAAACCUGCCUGAGGUUCCAGUCACUGUUAAGAAACUAUCACCAAGACCUCAAACUUGCUCUGGACGUCUCCUCCUUCUACCAACAGGCUGACAACAUCAUCUGCACCAUCAACAGGAAGAGAAGUGUCCUGUCUGGAUCAGAUAACCAGGGGAGCUGCGGUCAGACAGAGAUCUACAAUAUUGCCAGCCAAAUCACGAUGCUGAACGAGACUGUUUCACGCCUUUCGUACCUCCACCCUACCCUGGCUGCCAGAGUGACACGGAAGCAGGCUGAGGUGCAGGAGAGUUGGGGCCUGCUCCAGGAGGGUAGCGGGAGCGAGUGGCCAGAUUUGCCCACCACCCUUGCCAUAGACUUCUCCUGUGAUGAACCUGGCCCACUGAGUCAAACCAGAGAUCCGGAACAUGAGGCCCAGAGGAUCAUAGGAAAGGACAUCAAAGAGGAACAGAACCCUCUCAAAGGGUUCGAGAACAUGAAAGACUGUGGGGUCCCCAUGAAGCUGACUGUUAGUCAAGUUGAAGAACAGCCUUCCAAAAGCUAUACCCGAGUCUCCUGUGACACCACCAGCAAUGACUUGACUAGAAGACUGUGUGUGGAGAGGCAAAGAAAGGACCAGACAAACCAUUCGAACACUUGUUCUCCAGGUUGCCAAUCAGAACUUGGUAUUCAGUUGCAAAAUUCUACCACAUCUGCUGAUAAGGAAAAGCCAGGGUCAACCCAAGGCCAGCACCAAGGUUGUAUGAAGAUGGAAGAUCUCCUUGGCCAAGUGGAAACGUUAUGGGAAGUUCUGAGGAGAAGACUUCAUAGAAGCAUGAUUUAUUCAAACAGCUCUGAGAGGCUCAACUUGGAGAGGGAUGACAAUCAUGAGACAGACAAGGAUCGGCUCGAAGGACGCCUGUCAGAAUACAGUGCAACCACGGAAAACGUGGAAUUCUGGAGCGUCCCAGAUGUCAAGGAUCUCUCUGAGACAUUGGAGGAAAACGACAGAGGAAUGCUGACAGAGCUGCUGAGGUGUCUUGACCAGGAUGAAAACUUUGAUCAUUGUGAGGUAGAGCGACAGACCCUUACUGGACAAAUGGAUGACCAGGGGUGCAUGGACUACCCUAUGGAGGACCUUGGUGAAGCAGUGGAGAAAAGAGGACAUUCCCUCUAUCAAAGUCAAGACACCCAAGAACUUAUGAGUCAGCACUCAACACUGACGCUGCACAUCAACCAGCUCUUGUCCAGGUGUGCAGAGUUCAGCAUGGACAUUCUGGACACUGAGACAGACAUGGCGGUCAGAUGUGAGCCCUAUAGUUCUGAACUCGAGGGGCUGCAGGAGCAACAGGAUGAGCUAGAGAGGGACUAUCAGGUCAUAAAAGAGGAGGUGGAAGAGAUGGAGGGACUGGCUUUGCGACUACAGGUCCUCCUACCUGACAUGACAGGGGCUUUGGGGGAGGACAUCCUUGCGACCCAGCAAGCUUGGGAGGAGUUGGGCUGGAGCAUGGCAGAGAACCAAUGCCACCUCCAACAACUUCAGCAACUGAAAGACUUUCUUAGGGCCUACCUGGCCAUGAUCUCAUGGACAGAGGACACGGAGACUUGCAUUUUCUCAGAGGCUUCAGUCCAGCAGUGGAGAUUGGCAGAAUCAAGUGUUCCAUCUGAGCUAGAUAUGACGAUAGAGCAGAAGUUUGACGAGUUUGACAAGCUCGCUGCUGCUGGGCAGAAGCUUAUCAAGGAGCGACAUCACUUGGCAGAUAUUAUAAAGGAGAGGACUGAGGAACUGCAAAGCAUGCUGGGACGGAUCCUGGUGUACUGGAGGGCACAGAAAGACCAGCUGGGUCGGGAGAGGUCAAGCGAUUCAAGAAGAAGUGAUGCCCCUCAAGGAGACGCAACCAGAUUUUCACAAGGUCAACCCCAGAAUUUAUCCUCUCUGGCAGAACACAACAAGUCCUCUGAAAGCCUGUCCACAAAGCACAGGCUGAUGGUGGCAAGCCGGUUUGAAGGACCACAAAAAUCCCAACCGGGGAUAGGUCACCAUGCAGAAAACUUUGCCAAGCCAGUAAACGUAACACCACACGUCCCCUUGGCUGUGGCCGUCAACUCGCCCAGCAUUACCCUUGAAGAGCCCUGUGCUACUGUCACCCCACUGGGCAGCAGCAUCAACCUCAUCCUCAGUUUUGACCAACAGCCACCAGGGGGCGGUCUGCAACGGGGGCCAGUGGAGCCAAAGCAGGCAGUGGAACCUGUGCAUAGGGUGAGCACCUAUCUGCAAGUCACAGAUGGAAGUCCUGUUGUUGAAGACAUGGCAUCGUCUCAUGUUACUGACACGAGCCACGUGUUAACCACCUUUUCCACAAGCUCAAUCAACGCUACUUUCAUACCCCAAGUCAGGACUGGCUUGCUCCCCACCUUACCCAGAACCAGUUCCACCUCUACAUUAAACCUGAAGGGACCGAUGAAGAGGAGGAAGAAAUUGACACACAGGCACACUGAGACUGGAAUUGUCGCAAUGCCCAAGCCAGACGGGGUUACUACCGUGCCCACCAAUGUCACACACAGAGCUUACACCUGGCCACUGGAGGAUAAGAAGGAAUGCCAUGCCACACAAGGGAGUCCAGUUAAUACAGAACUCCAACUGUAUAUCAAAAAUAAUUCUGUGGUGAGUGUCAUGGAUGGCAACUCUUCAGGCACGUCAAGCAUUCCUACCGUUCCUACCAUCCUGGGGCAUUUUUUGCAUGGACCCAAUGAGAUGACCAUUAGGCAAGACAAGAACCACUAUGGCGUUAUCCCUCUUGGGUCGAUAUUGAGUUUUGACCUGCCCAAGGAUUGGGGGAAAAUCUCACAGAUAAGUGCAAAAGACCUCACAACUGAGAAAGUGCCUUUUGAAGCCAAUGGAGACCAUGCCAGUCCACCUUUGAAUCUGUACAGACCAUCAGGCUCAAACACACUCGGUCAGACUCACGUAUUGUCCAAAGUAAUUGGACAGACUUUCACCCUCAGUCCAGAGAAGGAAAGGCAUCUUGAAGCUGAUGGGGACUGUAGACCGUUAGGCUCAAAUACACUCAGUCUAACUCAGAAAGUGAUUGGGCAGAAUUUCACCCUCAGUCCAGGGGAGGAAAGUAUAUGCAAAGCAGGGGACUUUGCUGUUCUAAAUGGUUCACCUUUGAAUCUAUACAAAUUGGCAGACUCAAAUACACUCAGUCAGAGUCACAAAGUGAUUGGACAUACUUUCGCCCUCAGUCCGAAGGAAGAAAAGAGCUGCGAAACAGCUAGGCAGGACUCGCAGAAGGUCAGCUCAGAGUCUGUUUCUCUUUUGGUUCAGUGUAUCUCGCUACCUGAGAAAGACGACAUCUAUCAAGACCUAAGAAGCGCCACAAGGAGUCCUGCCCUUGCUGCUGGACAUGAGAACAUUUUCUCCAGCACUGUUGGCAUCCAUGAUGAGGAUACGGUUGAGAUUUCCAUUCCAGUAGCCAUUUUGGACUCUAACAAGCAACGCACUGAACCAAACUGCAGCAGCUCGAUGAUGCAUGACCACACCCGCACUGAACCGUCACAGAACCACAAGCCCAACUGUUUAAGUGUUCACACUAAGAUUCAAGACCUCAAUAACCACAUAUACUUCCCUUCUGCAAAGAGGCAAUUCGCUUUCCAAAGUGACCUUCGAGUUGUAGAGAUCAAGGGCUUGUCUACUGUGUCUGAAGACUCCACAUGGAUGGGCGAGCGCAGUUCUGGACGAGUCAUUGUGUGCUCUGAGGACAACUGUUGCGUGUGCUCCGACAGCCCCGCACCAAUAAUGGUAUUGGGAAAAGAAACUUCACCCAAAAGAGAACAAGAUCAUAUUCAUUCUGAUCAUUGGCAGUUUGAGGAGGAGGAAGAGGAGCUGGAGGAUAUUUGGAAUUGCACAGACCGUGAAAGAGCACCUUGAAUUACUGUGGUCCAUAAAUCUGAG
rnacentral:lncRNA from 8 species